UCGAAGAGAAAACGCGUGAUUUUCGCUUAAAUGGGGGAUUUGCGAAGAGAAAACGCGUGAUUUUCGCUUAAAUGGGGGAUUUGCGAAGAGAAAACGCGUGAUUUUCGCUUAAAUGGGGGAUUUGCGAAGAGAAAACGCGUGAUUUUCGGGUUAAAUGGGGGAUUUCCAAAGAGAGAACAGGUGCUUUUCUCUUACAUGGGGGAUUUGCGAAAAGAAAACGCGUGAUUUUCAGGUGAAAUGGGGGAUUUGCAAAGAUAAAACACAUGAUAUUCACAUUAAAUUGGGGAUUUCCAAAGAGAAAAU
ensembl:lncRNA